rnacentral:tRNA from 1 species
GAGGAAGUUCUAAUGUUGGUAAUUAGACCUAUACUGUAAAUAUAGUGCUUCGGCUGCGACUGUUCAAUUCAGUCCUUCCUCA